GGAAGUUUGACAAUUGCCGGAAGAAGAGAGGCUACAUCUGCAAGAAAAGAGGAAACAUUCCAAAACCGCCGCAGCAGCCUCAUGACGUAUUAGCCGAUCGUGAGUCGCCAUGUGACACAGUCAACGGAUGGAGUUCUCACGGCUCCAAGUGCUACAAGAAGAUGGAGAAAACCAACGGGUGGCUGGGGGCUCGUUACGACUGCCUCUGGGAGGGCGGCGACCUUGUUUCCAUCACCUCCAAGGACCAGGAAGAGUUCGUGAA